AUGUCUGUGCUGCCAGAAAAAUAUUACAUAGAAAGGUGGAGGCCAAAAAAUACAAAGGACAUACGGGACAUCCGUUUCAAUGUUCCUUUGGAACUAACUGCUGGAAGUCAACACUUAAGGUAUACCCUGCUAUCCAACAGGCUCAAUGAGAUGGCCUCAGACGGUGCAUCAACAAACAGAAAAUAUCUGUAUGUUGUAGCAGAAUGUGAAAGGGUGCAACAAAGGUUGGAUGAGAUGACUAAAGAGGAUGAACUUGCAGAAGCGCAGAACGCAAAUGUUGACAAGGACACAACAGAGACUGAUGAAGCACCGCAUCCUGAUGGCUAUGGACACAAACUUCAAGAUCCUGAUGUUGCAGUGUCAAAAGGGCGUCCACAAAAAGGACGUUACAAAACUUUCAUGGAAAGUUUAGCAUCUAAACAGAAAGUCACAUGCAGUCGGUGUGGGAAACCUGAUCAUUAUAAAAGUUCUUGUACUGCAAGUACUGAAGAUAUCAAUUUGGCUCAGAAACAAAAAGUCAGCCGCAAACAAACCUCAGGCUCAUCUGGCACAUCUACAGGCAAGGGACCAGCUGGUGCAAACCCGAGGAAGAAGGCAAGAAAAGAAAAAUAA
rnacentral:rRNA from 1 species